rnacentral:rRNA from 1 species
AUACGGAGGAUCCGAGCGUUAUCCGGAUUUAUUGGGUUUAAAGGGUGCGCAGGCGGCGAUUUAAGUCAGCGGUUAAAUCGUGGGGCUCAACCCCAUUCUGCCGUUGAUACUGGGUGGCUUGAUUGCGGUCGAGGUUGGCGGAAUUCGUUGUGUAGCGGUGAAAUGCAUAGAUAUGACGAAGAACACCGAUUGCGUAGGCAGCUGACCAGACCGCAAAUGACGCUCAUGCACGAAAGUGCGGGGAUCGAACAGGAUUAGAUACCCUGGUAGUCCGCACAGUAAACGAUGAAUACUUGUUUUCGGCGAUAUAAUGUCGGAGGCAAAGCGAAAGCGAUAAGUAUUCCACCUGGGGAGUACGCCGGCAACGGUGAAACUCAAAGGAAUUGACGGGG